rnacentral:tRNA from 1 species
GGGGUUUUGCUUAAUCCGGUCAAGCAUCAGGCAUUGCAUAUCUGAGAAGAUUGGCUCGGGACCAAUAAACUCCA